CCAGAAUCAAACCUGGGACCCUUGAGUCCACAGGCUGACGCUCUAUCCACUGAGCCAAACUGGUUAGGGCAAUUUUUACAAUUUUUUAAUGGUUUUGGGAUUUUGAUUAUAUGGAAUUCAAUUUGAGAGUCCACUUGCAGAAUCAGGGAAGUGCAGAAAGAGCUAGAAAAUGAACCGGGGGAAGUCAAAUUGUUUUCUUGGGGGAAAAAAAAAAUUCAGGCCAGCAUGUGUUCAUCAUUGUCUCUGCAAGGAUGGGUAACAGCAAGAUGUAAGCAGUGCGCAUUUGGUUUAGUUUAGAGUCAGCACUUGAAAUUAGGGAUAGACUAGUUACCCAUCACUUGACACUACCCUUGUCCCAUUUCCUUGAAUCUUGUCCAGGUCAUCAAACUAUUUUUUCUCUCUUUGUGGACCACCUUCCCUACCCUCUGAGAAAGAACCUUUGCCUAUAUUUUAAAUUGUGGCAAAGCCUUCUAUCUGUUUACUAGGUUUAAAACGAUGAGAUUUAUUUCUUCUCCUUACUCUUGGUGCUCUUUCUUCUUAAAGGAGAAUAAAUUUAGCAGAAAAAAAAUAUUUCUGACACCUUCCGAAUGGAAUGAUAACAUAGUGUUGAGAAAACGAAACCCACUUGGUAAUCAGACAGGUGGACAUGUUCAAAAUGCUCUAGUUUCCAACCCCUUUAGAGCAUUCGCUACAUAUACACAAGGGGGGUUCUGUUUCUUUCUUUCCCUGUUAAAGCAUUUCUGCUGUUUUUAGGAGAAGCCACGCCCUCUUGCCUGGGGCCUGGGAAAGCCAGCCUCACUUCUCUCACAUGUAACUUUAGCAAACCACUGGGGCUGCCAGGCACAUUGGAGGUCCUGUGGGGGCAACUCCGCAGAGACCAAGGGCAAGAUAAUCAGUCCAAGGAGACAGUUAAUUUUAGUACAAAAGAGGUUAGAUGUGAUUUAUUUCCAACACCAAUGAACCAAAAGAGCUAACAAUCAUCAGAACAAAACACAGAACCAUCAAAUACUCCAGGCAAAAAUGGCCUGUGUCAGCUGACAUCGGUGUCCUCGUCAUCGUUAGCAAGGGAGACAGGCUUCAGUGGCUCAGGAGCUGAUGUGGACGACAUGUUUAAGUUGUCUUUAUAGGAAAAGGGUUUGAAUCAUCAGAGAGUUGGAGAAAUGGAUUUGGAGACAGGAAAGAGAAUAGGAAAAGAAAAGAAGGCAAGAGAAGACAGGGGGGUUUUUAUAAUAAUAUCGUAGCUCAUUCGUCAUUCCCGUUCAUCGUCACUAUCUUCAGAAAGCAUAGUGCUAGGACAGGAGCCAUGCAGCUUGUGCUGCCUCUUAAUCAUCCUGUCUCAGCUGCUGCAGGAGAACCCUCUCCACGGCUACCUGCUGUGGAGCAGAGUGCAGCACACCCACCACCAAGCCCAGCCGGCUCCCUCAGAGCGUCUCGCCUCCAGGAUGGACCCCUAGGCAGGUGAAUUGUUCCCAGCUUGAGCAAGGUGUUCCCUUGCAUUUGAGCCAAGGACUUGUCAUAGGACAUUGCUCAUAGUCCCAUUGUUGAUUUAUUCAUUUCUGCAAAAUAGCUUAAACAGCACCUCUUCCUGUUUCUGAGACUCACACAGCAUCUGAAUCUAAGGACUUGGAGGAAAGCCUCUAAAACCCAUGUCAAUGGAGGAUGAGGGCUCAGACUGGGAUGCACAAAGUCCUAGACCCUUAUUUUAAUGAGGGGAAAGCCCUGGAUCCUUCCUGUCCUUCUCUCUAGGUCAUUAUUUACCAGAAUACUUUGGGUCCUGAGUCCUGUUCCAUUUAAUCACCCUGUCCUUUCUGCAGUCACUACAUCAUCAUGCACAUAACUUCUGUUAUUGCCUUCACAUAUGGCACGUUAAACAUCCCUCAGUCUCCACCGAGUAGGACAAUGGCUUAAUUACCUGUGAAUCUCCUGUCCCUAGAUCAGCACUUGGUAUAUAAUAUUGAGUAAGUAAGUGAAUGAAAGAAUGAAAGCCAUUUAUAUUGAGUGAAUAGCAAUUACAUCGAAAACGAAGCUGUCCAUAUCGAUCCCUGGCAAAUAAGAAAGGAAACAUUGUGAGACUCUUAUAUGUGUGAGAAGAAAAACUAAAAAACAUCUUUCAUCGUAUGCAGAGAAGAAGGCUUGGGGAAAUUGUUUAGACUGUUUGAACAGGACCCAGGUCUGGAGUGGCAUUUAGAUCUGAGCCCUCACGUGUCUGUGUAGGGCAGUGAUUUUCAACCUUUUUGAUCCCAUAGCACGCAUAAACUAAUUACUAAAAUUCUACGGCAUACCAAAAAUAUAUGUUUUUUGCCAAUCUGAUGGAAAAAAAAAAAAGGUACAUUUUGAUUCACUCACACUGGAUGGCUAUUAUUGUGUUGGUUGUUGCCAUUUUUAAAAUUUGACAAUGUAAGGCAAAAGAGGCUAGGGCUCCUGACUAAAUAGUCAGGUGUGGCAUGCUUUAAAAAUUCGUGCAGCACACCAGCUGAAAUCACUGGUCUAGUGCAUGUUCCAAAGCAACGAUUUAGAGCUCACGUUCUCUCUACUUCCAGACACUCCUUCCCUCUUCUUAAGUUUUCUAUAUUGCUCCUGCUGACAGAGAUCAUAAGAUACCUUAAUUGUUCUCAGUUCAAACAUAUUGGCCUGUUGUCAGACCAAGUAUUCAAUUGUAGGGUUCAGAAAAUGCAUUUCCAGUGGGCUUAGAUUGGGCGGGCUACAUACUCAAGGGGGAAAUGAUUUUAAAAAUAUCAGAGUAUGUUUGGCAAACAGGAGAGCAGUCAACUACAUUUGACAGUGGUUGAGGAGAAACUGGAUUUUCUCCCAGAGGCAUCCUGGGUGUCUUUGCAGCCCCUUCUCUUGAGCAAAUGGUUACCAGCAAAUGGUCACUCAAAGCCUUGCUAAGAGUGCUCAUCCUUUACUGUAUUUUAUUAAAGCCUCAGGCAUGUGCCCCUGCACCCUCUCUGCCCUGCUCAUUGUUUUGGCUACAGAGCUGGGGAGCAAAGCUGGCAUCACAUGGGGAGUUUCCAUGUGUGAAGGUCCACAUCCUUCAUUCACAUCCUUCAAGGGUUUCCCUGAACAUUUUCUGAUUGUGUUUCUGAGUACAUGGUGUCAACAGCUCUCAGAAUUGUUAAGUUUUCUAUUUAUCCUCAGGCCAGGAAAAGGCACAGAUCACUGCAGUGUAAAAUUACCAGUGGUUUUGACAGUGACCUAGAAGAACUAUAGAAUGAAGAAAUUUAGCCUUGAGAGCUGAGGUCCAGCCCCAGGCUCAUCUUAACCAUGAAGUUCUGCUCAAUUAUACAGGCCACAAGAAGUUCUGCUAGUCCUGAAAAUAUUGAACUCAUCCAACUUACGCUGGGUGGUGUUGACUCAUCUUGAUGAAUGGCCAGUUUCAGACACCAAGAACUCUCCAAAUCAGCACAAACUCUUCUGAAGUCUUGAAAAGAUUAGUUGGAAUAAUUAAAAAUGGCCAGAUUUGCUGAAAAUAGAAGGAAGGAACAUUUCUUUGGAAUUGCUCUUGCACAGCCUUUAGAGAGACAGUGUUGUAAUGGGUAAGAGUUCAGGCCUGAGAGCUGGACCAUCUGGCUUGCACCACAGCUCUGCCACUUCCUAGCUAUGAAUCUGUGAGCACGUUACCCUCGAUGUGUCUCAGUUUUAUCAUGGGGAUGGCAUAAAAAUGUCUACUUCCCACACCUGUUGUGAGUUAAUAGGUAUGAAGCACGUAAAACUGUGCUUGGCACAUAGAAAGUAUUCAUUAAAUGUUAGCUACUAUUUUUAAUUAGAUCAUAACUUAGAACUGUUGCAGAUGUAUUGUGAAUGUAGAAUACAAAGUUAACACUGGGAAGUAGAGAAAUAUAUACUGAAAAAGGGAAUUGUGCAGAUAAACAUGGUACAGUUUAAGAGAGUUGUGUUUAAAUUAGGAGACAAUUCUUAUGUGUCUCCUUAAUCUAUCAAGCAUCCCUUAGUCAGAUCCCUUCUUAAAUGACCUUGAGCUUUCUACAUCAAGUUCUUAGUGAUCACAAACCUUGGUGAGUAGUCAUGUCUUAAGUGUAGUAUAUUACUUUGCUUCCAUGUUAACUUCUUCAGAUAUAACCUAGGUCCCGGUCACUUGUUCACUAACUGCAGGAGGUACACAUUAAGGUCUCCAGAGCUUCACUGACCUUCCUUAGGAGAUUGGAAGUCCAGUAUCUCCAACCUUCUUCUCACAAAAUUCUUUCUUUAUUUCCACUCUCAGGUGCUUAUACAUCUUCAGCAUGAAUAAUAGAUUUCCAGGAUUACAAAAUCUCCUUUUGGAACCUUGAAAUGCAGCAUCAAUUGUAUUUUGGUGCAUCAGUUAAAACAUCCACUUUAACAUUUUGUUACAUUUACAAACCCAUCCUUUCUACCUCGUCACAGCAUACUGCAUACAGAACAUUUUUCACUCCCCAAGCCUCAAUGUUAAAGCAACAAAAUUAGGGGUAAAUGAGAAAGGAUACUAACAUUUACUGAGUUUAAGUAAUUUUCCCAAAGACUAACAUAAUUAGAAAAUGGCAGAGCCAGAAUUCCCAUCCAGAUCUGUAUGUCCUAAACCCAGUUUCAUUUGCUAUAAGAUGAGGUAUUUAUUCAAAACCUAUCCAAGAAAAAUGCUUUUUUUUUGUAUUCCUUCUUCCUUAAACUCUCUUGAUUAUAUUAGCCAUUCUCUUAAAAUGCAGUUAAAUUUUUUUGUGUGUUUUGGGUAAACUCCCCAAAAUGUCAAAAAUUUAGUCAUUUCCUUUUCUACCUCUUCUACCUCAUGAAAUGAGGAUGAGUAACUUCCACUUUAUAGCCUUUGAGGGCUUUAAUAAAAAAAAAAAAAACAACUAUAAAAUUAGUGACUUCACACACAUCUAUUAACUUGAGGAUGUGUUUAUUAAGUUGGUUAUAUAUAUUUGAACUUCAUUCUUUAAAUUCAAUUUGUCAGGUAAAAUAAAAUUAUGUUAGUAUGCAUUUAUAAUUUAUUUCUUCCCUGAUAUAAAUCUGAAUUUCAGAAACCAAAACAUGGCUUUUGCUUCUUAACUCCUAUCAGGGAAGACACAAAGAAAUAGAUCUUUCUAUUAAAAUGCCUUAAAACCAGUUUUUCUUCAUACUUAGACUCAUCCCUAUGAAACUUCAGAGCACCAAGAAAAAAAGAGAAACCCCGAAGAGAUUCAAUGCAGGGAAAGACAGGUUACCUUUUGGAGGAUGAGAAUUAGAAUGGCUUUUGACUUCUUAUCCACAACAUUGGAUUCUAAAAGAAAAUGGAAUAAUAUCUUCACAUUUCGGAGGGAAAAUGAUUUUGACCAUAGAAUUCUGUGCCCAGCCAAACCACCAAUCAAGUAGAGAGGGAAAAAUAUAUCAAAAUAUAGGAAAUUAUAGUUUAUAUUUCCAAAGAAGAUAAUUGAGAGUGAAUUCCAGCAAAAUGGAAAACAUCAUGAAGGAUGAAGGCAUGAGAUCCAGAAAAUAAUGGCUCUACCCUACAAGGGAAGAGGGGGAAGGCCCUUGGUGACAGCUGGGCUCCAGAGCUGUCUGGAUGGGAGCAGAAAUUCAGAGAGAACUGGGUGGAUGUCUCAAGAAAGAGAUUGGUCCACAAGUGAAAGUACAGUGGUGGCAAAAGUAGGUUUGCAGUUACAUUGUAACAUUCUUUUGAAUUAAUAAAGUUAUUAUUCAUAAUCA